AGGGUUACUGACGAUUUUUUACUCUCUUUGGAGAAGAAGAAAACAUGGGCUUCUGUCCUCAGUGGAUUCUGUGAUUUGUGAAGCACUGAAAGAGAUCAGAUUUCUGCAGAAAAGGAAUAUCCAAUGGGAAAACCAUUUUCUAUUCUCAGUGAGCUAGACUGUGCAUUUGAUAUGUUACUCCAUGUGGUGGGCACAGCAAAACUGUACCCAUUCAGAAAGCAGCAGCUAUGCCACCCCACCCUUCAGAAACAAACUCCUUGUGAGUGGAAGGAAAGAAGUUAAAAUUUUGAAAUACUUCAGCGAUGUGAUCAGCAGACAGUAGUGGGAAAGAAUUUCUCCUGAACUUGAAUUGUGAUCAAAAUAAGGAAGGAAGAUCUGAAAGACCAGAAAAUAUUUUUGUUAAUCAGGAUAUGGCACUUUCCAACAUCUGGAUGUCAAAACACUUGUUUUGAAUUCAAUACUAUUAACCAUGUGUCACUUCAACGAAUUUUUUUUCCUCCAGAGCCAAUUGGGUGGCUACGAUUUUUGGCAAAGUUUUUGCUGUCUGUUGCUUACAUUACCUGACCUGUGGUCUGUUUGUCUUACAAUCUCUGUGGGAAAAAACAGCGAGAGUCCUCAACCCCCCCACCCUGCCUACCCAAAAAAAGUUAUACCACAAAGCCUGAAAAUAGAUCAGAACCCAGAAACAAAAUUCUAGGAUGAAGUCUCAUCCUUCCACCAAACCAUUUUGACCGGAUGGUAACCUCAUGGGAUUUCUGCCGCUUUUGCCUAUGACAUCGUGUAACAUCAAAUGAGAAAGCAUCUGAUUCUUCUGAAUAUCAUUGAGACAUGAUUAAACUAAAUACAACAUCUUGGGAACCCAGCAAAAAAAAAAGUUUGAAUAAAAGGUCAGACAAAGAUCAGGCAUCAGCUCUCGCUCUUUGCAAAAUGAUAAAACUAACAGGGAAUGACUCAGCUAGCCCUGAUGAAAAAGCUCCUUUCUUUGCAGUGUAAACAACACAGUUGGUGUUCUUGAAAUCCCAGACUGAAACAUCAACCAGCACUGGAAAAUACGAUAUCCCAGAAUGCCUUCCCUGUCCUGGGCAUAGCCUGUCACCAGCAUUUCAGGGGAUCUUAUUCACUGUGACUGGGACUAACUAUUCAAAAGAGACUGUUGCAUGAGUAAAAGGGAAAAAAGCUUGUGUGUGGACUGACCUCAAGAGUGUGAAGCAAAUAUUUUGUUUCAAAUCAACUUUUGACCCAUUUCAGCAGUAGACUGAGUGACCAGUAAUUGAAACCAGGAAAAAGAGAGAGAAAAAGGAGGUGUGGCUUUGAAGGAUUGAAUUAUGGAUGAGAGUAACAAAGAACUCUUCCACACUGAAACUUGGUGUCUAUUUUUUUUUUGCUGAGUAACUUGUUUUGAAGAAUAAGAGACUUCUGCUCUUGCCAGGUCCCUACAGCUAGGUUUUAUGGUUACAACGAGCAAGUAUGCAUCUGUGUAAACGUUCCUUAAUUUUCUGUUUUACAUCGUAUUUACAUUGCUCAGACAGUAAAACCACUGAAUGUUUUAAUUAGCUCUCCCAUUGCUCUGAAAACGUUUGAAAUUUACAUGUAGUAUGAAAAGACUGGAGGACCAAAUAAAGGCUAAGUGCUCACAAACGUGGUGAGAUGCUUAAAGUGCACCAGUUGUAUGUGGUUUAGGUUUGGGACAGGACAAAGGCAGUUUCGCAUGUGGUGGGUGUUAAAUUCCACAGUUUUCACACAGACCCAGCCCAUGUGUGGGCAGGAUGCUUAGGAAUCACAUCGCCUUUGGCAAAAUGAUACCCAGAAACAAAUAUGAGGGUAAGGUUGCAAAGACACGGGAAUGGGCUGCUGCUUGAUCCUGCUUGAAGGACCAGCAUUUGUCGUUUGCUGAAGAAGCUCUCCCAAAUGUUUUCAGAGACUCAUCAGAGGGGCUGCUAAGAAGAUCUCACAUCAUUAAACAAAUGAAAGCUUUCUAUGGAAUCACUGUUCUAAUAGGGAAUCAUUGUUUUUAAUGCAAUUUUUGUAGACUUGUAGAAUAAAAGAGACUGGAAGAAACUUCAAGAGAUAGUACUCAUUAAGAGCAGCAUUUUGCAUGUCAAUGUGAAGUUGACAAAACCUGCUAGUGAAUCUCUCAUCUUUGUUCUCAGGAUACAUGUAACUAUGCAAAUGGUCUAACACUAGGCUGUCAUGCUAUUUUAGUCAUAAUUCAGCUUUCAGGGUAUUUUUCAGCCUCUGUGCUGGCUCUGCCAAUGCAGUAGUUAAUUAACAAAGAACCACUGGAAGAGGACUGAAAGGGAUGAUCUAAUGCAUCCACCUUAAUGAGGCAGGACCAACAAU